rfam:Medicago truncatula strain A17 chromosome 4, whole genome shotgun sequence.
AGGUGUGAUCAUACCAGCACUAAUGCACCGGAUUCCAUCAGAACUCAGCAAUUAACCGUGCUUGGGCGAGAGUAGUACGAGGAUGGGUGUCCUCCUGAGAAGUCCUUGUGUUGCACCUC